AAUAAAGUGCCUGAUAAAAGGGUUAUUCUGAUAGAAUACAAUAUACAUAUAAUAUGUCUUUAUUA
rnacentral:tRNA from 1 species